rnacentral:lncRNA from 1 species
ACUGCCUUAACAGGGACGACACAUCACACCCAGCCAGCCAGCCACCCACCUUGGCUCUAGUCUGGCGAACAGAAGAACUCGAACUCUCGCCCUCUCGCCUUAACCCUCGGGAUAAUCUAGAUCCUUCGAGCAAAGAUCUUUCGAGAAGGCGAUGCAGAUCUGAAGGAGAGGGACGAUGGAGAUGUGUGCGUGUUUGAUCUUGUCUCUUCUCCUGCUUUUCCCGAUGGCGCGAGAAGCGAGGUCUUGUUCCCUGACGGAAGUGGAAUGCGACGGCGCGUGCAGGACGGCCUGUGACAGCCACAUCGAGUGCGCAGAUGGGCGGGACGAGUCGCCGCUGCUGUGCAAGGAGAGGCAAUGCGCGUAAGUUUGAUGGAGAACGU